AGAGUUUGAUCCUGGCUCAGGACGAACGUUGGCGGCGUGCUUAACACAUGCAAGUCGAACGGUUUGGUGGUGGGUGGUUAGUGGUUAGUCUUUUGGGGUUUUUGAGUAACGCGUGGAUAAUCUGCCUGUAAGACAGGGAUAACGCCGGGAAACCGGUGCUAAUACCCGAUAACCUCUUUGGAUCGCAUGGUUUGAAGAGAAAAGGUGGCCUCUUUACAAUGCUACCACUUACAGAUGAAUCCGCGUCCCAUUAGCCAGUUGGUGGGGUAAAGGCCUACCAAAGCGACGAUGGGUAGCCGGCCUGAGAGGGUGACCGGCCACACUGGAACUGAGAUACGGUCCAGACUCCUACGGGAGGCAGCAGUGGGGAAUCUUCCGCAAUGGGCGAAAGCCUGACGGAGCAACGCCGCGUGAGCGAAGAAGGUCUUCGGAUUGUAAAGCUCUGUGAUAUUGGACGAACAAUUUCCCGUAAAUAAUGGGAAGGAAUGACGGUACAAUAAGAGGAAGCCACGGCUAACUACGUGCCAGCAGCCGCGGUAAUACGUAGGUGGCAAACGUUGUCCAGGUGGUUUAUUAAGUCAAGAGUGAAAACUCCAGGCUCAACUUGGAGACUGCUCUACGAAACUGGUAGACUUGAGUGCAAGAGAGGGAAGUGGAAUUCCUAGUGUAGCGGUGAAAUGCGUAGAUAUUAGGAGGAACACCAGUGGCGAAGGCGACUUCCUGGCUUGUAACUGACACUGAGGCGCGAAAGCGUGGGGAUCAAACAGGAUUAGAUACCCUGGUAGUCCACGCCGUAAACGAUGAGUGCUAGGUGUCGGGGGUCAAAGUUCGGUGCCGAAGUUAACACAUUAAGCAUUCCACCUGGGGAGUACGUACGCAAGUAUGAAACUCAAAGGAAUUGACGGGGACCCGCACAAGCGGUGGAGCAUGUGGUUUAAUUCGAAGCAACGCGAAGAACCUUACCAGGUCUUGACAUCCCUCUGACCGGUCCGUAACGGGACCUUUCCUUCGGGACAGAGGAGACAGGUGGUGCAUGGUUGUCGUCAGCUCGUGUCGUGAGAUGUUGGGUUAAGUCCCGCAACGAGCGCAACCCUUAUCUUUAGUAGCCAGCACGUUAAGGUGGGAACUCUAGAGAGACUGCCGAGGAUAACUCGGAGGAAGGUGGGGAUGACGUCAAAUCAUCAUGCCCCUUAUGAUCUGGGCUACACACGUGCUACAAUGGCGAUAACAAAGGGAAGCGAAGCCGCGAGGUGGAGCAAACCCCAGAAAAGUCGUCCCAGUUCGGAUUGUAGUCUGCAACUCGACUACAUGAAGUUGGAAUCGCUAGUAAUCGCGAAUCAGAAUGUCGCGGUGAAUACGUUCCCGGGUCUUGUACACACCGCCCGUCACACCAUGGGAGUUGGAAGCGCCCGAAGCCAGUGACUCAACCGCAAGGAGAGAGCUGUCGAAGGUGAAGCCAAUGACUGGGGUGAAGUCGUAACAAGGUAACC
rnacentral:rRNA from 1 species